rnacentral:rRNA from 1 species
CAGUCGCCGCGGUAAUACGUAGGGUGCGAGCGUUAAUCGGAAUUACUGGGCGUAAAGCGUGCGCAGGCGGUUUUGUAAGACAGGCGUGAAAUCCCCGGGCUCAACUUGGGAAUGGCGCUUGUGACUGCAAAGCUAGAGUGCGGCAGAGGGGGAUGGAAUUCCGCGUGUAGCAGUGAAAUGCGUAGAUAUGCGGAGGAACACCGAUGGCGAAGGCAAUCCCCUGGGCCUGCACUGACGCUCAUGCACGAAAGCGUGGGGAGCAAACAGGAUUAGAUACCCGGGUAGUCCCUGUCUCUUAUAC